GUAGGGAAUAUUGGGCAAUGGGGGCAACCCUGACCCAGCAACGCCGCGUGAGGGAAGAAGGUUUUCGGAUUGUAAACCUCUGUCCUAUGGGAAGAAGGAAGUGACGGUACCAUAGGAGGAAGCCCCGGCUAACUACGUGCCAGCAGCCGCGGUAAUACGUAGGGGGCGAGCGUUGUCCUGAAUUACUGGGCGUAAAGGGUGCGCAGGUGGCCUGACAAGUCAGAUGUGAAAUACCGAUGCUUAACGUGGGGGCUGCAGUUGAAACUAUUAGGCUGGAGUGCAGGAGAGGGAAGCGGAAUUCCUAGUGUAGCGGUGAAAUGCAUAGAUAUUAGGAGGAACACCAGUGGCGAAGGCGGCUUUCUGGACUGUAACUGACACUGAGGCACGAAAGCGUGGGGAGCAAACAGGAUUAGAAACCCCGGUAGUCC
rnacentral:rRNA from 1 species